AAGCUGCGGCCCCGGGACAAAGGGACCGAGCCGGCGAAGGGCUGCGACCCGCCCAGGCGGCAGCUCCGCGGGGCAGCCCCCUCCCCGGGGCGGGCUCCUCGUCGGGGAUACCCCGCUGCCUUCCCGCUGGGUGUGUGGGUGUCCCCCGCCCCGCCCCCCCUUGAAUUUUUACCUUCAUCUUCGAGCUCUAGUUUCUCCAGCAUCCCUUCGGAGGCGGCCGGGAGCUGAGAAGGAGCCGGAGCCGCUGCCGCCGCCGCCGCCUGCGGGAGGGAAGAGAGGAGAAGGCGAUGAGCAUCCAGGCGCGGACUCACCGGCCCCGCGGCGGCAUCAGAGCCGCCCGGCGCGGCGGGGAGAGCGGCUGGCGCGGUUCCCGCCGAGCGCUGAGGGCAGGGCGGGCGGGACGGCGCUGGGGCCGGGCGGCGGCGGCUGCUGCUGCCCCUCGGCCUCCCACACACGCACGGCGCGGUGCGCGCUGCCUCUCACACACACACCCCGCACACUCUGAGGGGGGAGGGACCGGGACUCGCCCUUCCUACCCCCCUUCGCGGCGGCUGCGCCCGGCCCAUUAACCCUGCGGCCCCCGGGCUCCCCGCGGCCGUGCCUCCGGGAGGCGCCGCCUCUCGCCGGCGCGGACGGAGCGGCCGUCGGCGGCCGUUGGGAAGCACAGGGCGGCCGGACGCCCUUUGGCAGGACAGCGCUUCCCGCCACACCUCUCCGCCUCUUCUCCCCCGCACACCCCCCCUCCCAUGGAGGGAUUGGUACGUUCCAUUUUGCUGCAGUCAAGCCCGUUGGUCAGCAGCGGGAGGGGAAGGUACACCACAGGUGAAACCAGAUCAUCCUCUGCAUUGGGCCUGUGGUUUGACACCAUCUGGAAGGAACGAAGCAAGGACUGUGCUGAGCAAGAAGCAUAUCAAAUGUCUGAGCUAAAUAUUUUAUGACUACAAACAAUAUAAUAAAGAGUCAUGGAAAUACCGGUGUCUCCCCAAGUCCCUGGAGACUCUGGUCUCACUCCGGCACAUCAGAGUCAGCUGUGGACAGGCAGUUCACACUGACACUCCAGCUGCCCUCAUUUCCUGCUCAAGUUAAUGCUCUAAUGCAGGGUAGAGAUUUCACAGCCAUCACUUCAGUCUUCAGACUCGGGGAGGCUGAGCCAUGUCUGUUCACAUACAGACAGCAAAGCGAUAAACCCAGAGGACCAGCAGGCUUCAAACUGCAGAAGCCAGGCAAAUCCGGUGGCCAUAAAAACCACAUAAAGGUGAACAGAGCGCUUGGUGCUUCCACUACAUCGUGCAAAAGCUCCGUGCAUCUCCAGGGAUGCACAUUUGCCAAGGCCCUGCCUUGAAGUUCGCUACCUCUUUGAAAAGGACAACACAACAUCUGAAAGCCUGGACAUAAGAGAUGCAGACAAAGUCUACAAUAUGAAUGUUAAUAUACUGCAAGAGGAAAAAGCGGGAACAAUUCCGACCAGUUAACACGCCAGAGAAGAAAAGCAUGGACAGGCUUUAAAUAUCUGACCUCAGCAUCUCCUUCCCUAGAUGGAUCAGUAAGAAGGCUACACCCAUUCCUAGAAACAGCUCUGCAUUACAGACCAGCCUGUGGGCAGGGAUCCGAUUGUCUGCCCUACUGUAUUCUGUAAUUCUACAAUGAUGAAGGAAAAGAAGUGUACAGAACACACCUCUGCCCUUUUAUUUAAGGCUUUAAACCCUCCGGAAUCUGUGCACACAGGGGCAGACAUGGAGAGCGGCUUCAUAGGAGGCUGAGAGGAGGGAACCGAGGGCAGGACCAGACCUCCUGGGAAAGGGACGGCUCCACCAGUCAGGACCAGUGAGGCUGCUGCAGCGGCCCCGGCAGAGCUGCUCCAGUGCUGACAGCUCUGACCUCCACCCCACCGCCCUGUCCACCGACACAGCUGGAAACAGACGCGGUUCAUGGCUUCCAACCAUGAAGAAUGUUCAACCUCAAACCUUUUGAAGAACAGGAGGCCUCUUCACAGGACAAGCGUGAUCCCGGCCAGAGGAGCGGGCGUCCCCCUGCUCACCCACCCUGUCCCCCGGGCAGGUCCGUGGGACGCCCCGGGCAGGGUGCUGGUUGUGCAAGUCCUGACUCAGACGUCAGGGAGCAAAGCCAACACCGCAAAGGCCACGGUGAACAACUGUCAAAUGAUAAAAGAUUUCAGUCGCUGCUGACUGAAGCUGGAUUUAACCUCGCAGGGAAAGGCUUUGUAUCUCAUUACCAACCCGCCGUGCCAGUCACUUCCCUCCCCAGCUGCGUUGUUUUGACCUCAUUUCUGAAAAUAAAUGAUGAGCUGUUUUCUCCUUUUAACAAGUAACUAUGGCACUGGGAAGCUGCUUGUUCUCAGUUGUUAAAGCAAGGCAGAGCUGCAACCUGUUCCUCGAAGCACGGGCAGCUUUGGCCGAGAGCAUCACUACCCCAGUCCCCGCACAUCUCCCAGAUACCCAGCACCCUGUUCAGAAAGCCAUUUCGAUGGAAUCUGCUUCCACAAACACACCGUGACACGUUUCCAGGCGCUUCUGCAAGCAGUAAAUUGCUGUGUCUUACCCCAGUUCACUGAAUAUUGGUGAAACUGCAUUUGAUGCUGGGAGUCAUCUGCUUCUGCUCAACACAAAAGAAUCCAUCAGUAGUGAAAGACCAGCUGGUUUUAGAGAGUCAUCUAGAUAAGGGUUUGUGGCUGAUGUCUCACCCUGAGCCAGGUCUUGCAAAAACCAGUCAUGAAAGAGCACUGGUGUCUGGAGUCCUUCCAGUCCAGAUCCAGAGGACGCAAGAGGAGGAGACUCUUCUUGCCAAGAAAACCACAUCCUUUGCUCUUCUGAACCUUUUUUUUUUUAUAUUUAAUUCCUGACAGCCGAUUACGUUCCUGACACCUCCAGAAAAGCAGAAGAUGACACUGCAGAGACAGCAUUAAGCUGCCAUCCUUAACUCCUACCAUCAGACUGACUGCAAAGAACAUCAGGAAGCUCAACGUUCUCCUUUCAAGAGAGGACAGUUUAUCACUGAAUAACACUCACGGCUUUACAAAUGUUUCCCUAUGAUUUAUCCUUGCAGGGUCACAUCAAGGAGCUUCAGCAGCUAAUUUGCACCACAUGUUCUAACAUACUGUAAAGCUGUGGCCUCGAGAAGUUAUUAUUAUUAUUAUUAUUGUUAUUAUUUAAUAACUAUUGCAUUGAUUAAACAGAUAUAAGCCACCAAAUUUUCAUUAGUGUAAAAGCAGUUCAAUCACUGUUUUGUGCAAGCUAGCUGGUAUUUAGCAGACGCUUUUUUCUUGAUGCAGAAUCAAACAUGAAGCAUCACCCUGAAGUUCUGUUGAACUUGACUGGGUCCAGCUUGGAACAGCUCAGCUGUAUCGGUGCUGGACCACGGUCGGUACAAGCUGAACGCCAGCGCGGGCCAGCUGAGGCCUCUGGGCCAUCACAUGGCUGGACACUGGCCUUGUAGAGCUCCUACCCAAGGUAUUCACACUAUGUAGGGCCACGUGUGGGAUCUCUGACGGCGUUGGCAUCAGCCCUGUCCAUCUCGAUGAUGCAAAAGGAGAGCUCAGCGCUGCUCCAAAGCACAGAUUGUGCCAGGUUCUGCCACCCCAGAAAGUUCUGGAGUUCAAGUGAAAGCACCUUCCGAGCAGACUGGAAACUUCACAGGGUUAAAACUAGCAAAUACAGUUCCACCCAAGCACGGUAACAGCAAGAGUGGCAGGAGGUUUAAAGCAAGAAGAGCCAGGAGCUGCUGAUGCCGAGUCGCUGGGGCAGAGCGGGAAGGUUGAAAGUUCACGAGUCAGGGGACAGUUUCCCCAAAAUGAGGAUUAUUUGUGUUACUCUGUGCUCCGAGUGCAUUGCUUCAUCUCAGCAAACAAAGCCGCAAAUGAACUCAAAGGGCUCUGACGGGGAAUCAAAACUAUUUAGUGUGAAGGAAAAUAAUGGGAGCUGGAUGUGGGGCUGGGGCACAGCUGGCCGCAGGAGGAGGGGAGCGCUGCGGAAACAAAGAGGCGAUAACCCCAGCGGGCUGAGCCACCAAAACGGCCAAGGACAACAAGGCAAAAUCUGUGCUGGUCCCUCAGCAAUUAGAAAGAUCCCUCCUGGACAUAAUUAUGUAACUUUGUCAUUGUUGAGACACAAGGGCACUAAUCAAUGACCUUGCUGCCCCAUGUCCUGUGUCCUACCAGUGGUGAAGGUGCUCCCGGCCACCGCACACCUAGGUACUAUGGCAGUGUGCAAGGGAUGGGUGGAAAUAAAUCCAUGCAAAAAGAAGAGAACACAUUGGUAACUGCAUUUUGUUUCGUUCCUUUGAUCAGUCACCUGAA